AUUUUAUUAAAAGGCCGCAGUAUAUUGACUGUGCAAAGGUAGCAUAAUCAUUUGUCUCUUAAUUAGAGGCUGGAAUGAAUGGUUGAAUGAAAAAUUAACUGUCUCUUUUUAAAAAAUUAAGAAUUUAAAUUUUAAGUAAAAAUGCUUAAAUAUAUUUAAAAGACGAGAAGCCCCUAUAGAUUUUUAUUUUUAUAUUAUUUAUAUUUAUAAGAAUAUUAAUUAAUUWWUAAUAAUAUAAAAAUUUGAUUGGGGGGAUUAAAAAAUUUAAUUAACUUUUUAUUUAUUUAACCAUUUAUUUAUGAAAAUUUGAUCUUUUUUUAAUGAUUAAAAGAUUAAAUUCCCUUAGGGAUAACAGCGUAAUUUUUUUGAAGAGUUCUUAUCUAUAAAAAAGAUUGCGACCUCGAUGUUGAAUUAAAAGUUAUAUUUAAAUGCAGAAG
rnacentral:rRNA from 1 species